UAGGGAAUCUUCCGCACUGGACGCAAGUCUGACGGAGCAACGCCGCGUGAGUGAAGAAGGAUUUCGGUUCGUAAAACUCUGUUGUUAGAGAAGAACAGCGCAUAGAGUAACUGUUAUGCGUGUGACGGUAUCUAACCAGAAAGCCACGGCUAACUACGUGCCAGCAGCCGCGGUAAUACGUAGGUGGCAAGCGUUGUCCGGAUUUAUUGGGCGUAAAGCGAGCGCAGGCGGUCAAUUAAGUCUGAUGUGAAAGCCCCCGGCUCAACCGGGGAGGGUCAUUGGAAACUGGUUGACUUGAGUGCAGAAGAGGAGAGUGGAAUUCCAUGUGUAGCGGUGAAAUGCGUAGAUAUAUGGAGGAACACCAGUGGCGAAGGCGACUCUCUGGUCUGUAACUGACGCUGAGGCUCGAAAGCGUGGGUAGCAAACAGG
rnacentral:rRNA from 1 species